UGGCGGACGGGUGAGUAAUGUCUGGGAAACUGCCCGAUGGAGGGGGAUAACUACUGGAAACGGUAGCUAAUACCGCAUAACGUCGCAAGACCAAAGAGGGGGACCUUAGGGCCUCUUGCCAUCGGAUGUGCCCAGAUGGGAUUAGCUAGUAGGUGGGGUAAUGGCUCACCUAGGCGACGAUCCCUAGCUGGUCCGAGAGGAUGACCAGCCACACUGGAACUGAGACACGGUCCAG
rnacentral:rRNA from 1 species